AUUGAACGCUGGCGGCAGGCCUAACACAUGCAAGUCGAGCGAGCGGCGGACGGGUGAGUAAUGUAUGGGGAUCUGCCCGAUAGAGGGGGAUAACUACUGGAAACGGUGGCUAAUACCGCAUACCAUCAGAUGAACCCAUCUGGUAUUAGCUUGUAGGUGAGGUAACGGCUCACCUAGGCGACGAUCCCUAGCUGGUCUGAGAGGAUGAUCAGCCACACUGGAACGGAGACACGGCCCAGACUACUACGUGAGGCAGCAGUGGGGAAUAUUGCACAAUGGGCGCAAGCCUGAUUCAGCCAUGCCGCGUGUAUGAAGAAGGCCUUCGGGUUGUAAAGUACUUUCAGUGGGGAGGCGUUACCCACAGAAGAAGCACCGGCUAACUCCGUGCCAGCAGCCGCGGUAAUAC
rnacentral:rRNA from 1 species